UACGGAGGGAGCUAGCGUUGUUCGGAAUUACUGGGCGUAAAGCGCGCGUAGGCGGCUUUGUAAGUUAGAGGUGAAAGCCCGGGGCUCAACCCCGGAACUGCCUUUAAGACUGCAUCGCUUGAAUCCGGGAGAGGUGAGUGGAAUUCCGAGUGUAGAGGUGAAAUUCGUAGAUAUUCGGAAGAACACCAGUGGCGAAGGCGGCUCACUGGACCGGCAUUGACGCUGAGGUGCGAAAGCGUGGGGAGCAAGCAGG
rnacentral:rRNA from 1 species